rnacentral:tRNA from 1 species
GCUUUCAUAGCUCAGUAGGUAGAGCGCAUCCAUGGUAAGGAUGAGGUCGUCAGUUCGAUUCUGACUGGAAGCUCCA